rnacentral:tRNA from 1 species
ACCUCGGUGGUGUAGUGGUCAAGACGCUCGCCUGGUAAACAGGAGGGAAUGGGUUCGAUCCCAGCCGAGGCA